rnacentral:lncRNA from 1 species
GCACAUUUUGACAUAUAAAGUUUUAUACAGUAUAUGUAUGAUAAUGAUCCUUACCCGUCCGAUCAUUAUAAAUCCAUUACACUUACCCGUUAUGCAGAUCAGUCAUGCAUGAGUCGACUAAAUGGUUAAAUCGAUACAAAAUUGUUCUAAUAUACAAAAUAUUAUCAAAAUAUGAAUAUUCAGCUGUUAGGAUGUGUGAUUUAGAGAGUUUUGGAAAAAUAAUGGCAAAAAGAAAUAAAGAAAAAAUUAUACGAAAAUUCUUCAAUAUUCUCUGUUUUGCGUUGUACUAGCUGUAUGUAGAUUUUUUCGAUUUCACCCUACAGAAGAAUUCUCUUAAGCGCUCUAUAUCCUUG